rnacentral:rRNA from 1 species
UCCGCAGGUUCACCUACGGAAGGAUCAUUACCGAGUUUUCAACUCCCUAACCCUUCUGUGAACCUACCUAUCGUUGCUUCGGCGGACUCGCCCCAGCCCGGACGCGGACUGGACCAGCGGCCCGCCGGGGACCUCAAACUCUUGUAUUCCAGCAUCUUCUGAAUACGCCGCAAGGCAAAACAAAUGAAUCAAAACUUUCAACAACGGAUCUCUUGGCUCUGGCAUCGAUGAAGAACGCAGCGAAACGCGAUAAGUAAUGUGAAUUGCAGAAUCCAGUGAAUCAUCGAAUCUUUGAACGCACAUUGCGCCCGCCAGCAUUCUGGCGGGCAUGCCUGUUCGAGCGUCAUUUCAACCCUCGACCUCCCCUUGGGGGGGUCGGCGUUGGGGACCGGCAGCACACCGCCGGCCCUGAAAUGGAGUGGCGGCCCGUCCGCGGCGACCUCUGCGCAGUAAUACAGCUCGCACCGGAACCCCGACGCGGCCACGCCGUAAAACACCCAACUUCUGAACGUUGACCUCGAAUCAGGUAGGACUACCCGCUGAACUUAAGCAUAUCAAUAAGCGGAGGA